rnacentral:lncRNA from 1 species
CUUCAAAGCCUGCAAAGAGAGCAAAAAAGAAACGAAAGUAGCAGCCAUAACAGAGGCUGAAACAGUGAUAGAACAGUAGCAAGGACAAGAGCAUACAGAGAGCAGAACCUAGACAUAAAUGGUAACGAGGAAUAAUAUUGUAUUGUUAUUUUUCGGCUAUAAAGUCACUGAAAAACGGAUGUAAAAAAGGGGGGAUUCAAAAAAUAUACGAAAAUCAAUCAAAAACGAAAAUUUCAAAAGGUUAUCUUUUGCUCUUAGUUUGGUUUCAAUUUCUGUUUUCAUAUUUUUUUUCUUUUUAUUAUUACAAUCGGAAAUCAAAAAGAAAAAGGGAGGGAAUACCCUUACCGUUGAUUUUUUUUCCGGCCGCCAUCGUUGGUGUCGCACAACGGAGCAGCUGCAAGGAUGGGCUAACUCUUUUGCCCUAGCAAAGAAAGAUUGAAAACCUAUUUUGCUUCUUUUGAUUUCAGCGCAAGCUAGGCUUUGAAAACCUAGCAGAGGAAAAGAAGAAAAAAUAGGGAGGUGGGCUCUGUAAAUUUUUUAAAAAAGAAAAAG